GUUGAAGAACGCAGCGAAAUGCGAUAAGUAAUGUGAAUUGCAGAAUUCAGUGAAUCAUCGAAUCUUUGAACGCACAUUGCGCCCGCCAGUAUUCUGGCGGGCAUGCCUGUUCGAGCGUCAUUUCAACCAUCAAGCCCCCGGCUUGUGUUGGGGACCUGCGGCUGCCGCAGGCCCUGAAAAGCAGUGGCGGGCUCGCUGUCACACCGAGCGUAGUAGCAUACAUCUCGCUCUGGGCGUGCUGCGGGUUCCGGCCGUUAAACCACCUUCAUAACCCAAGGUUGACCUCGGAUCAGGUAGGAAGACCCGCUGAACUUAAGCAUAUCAAUAAGCGGAGGA
rnacentral:misc_RNA from 1 species